UGAUGGAUGGCGCAUGGACAAGGAUUCCCCUAGUAACUGCGAGUGAACAGGGAUGAGCCCAGCACCGAAGCCUGUGGCCGUUUGGUUACUAGGCAAUGUGGUGUUUAGGUUGUUUCUCGGAACCACUGCUCCACCCUGAGUCCAGGAAUGAGUACGGUAGUACGGACAUGGCCCAUAGAGGGUGAAAGGCCCGUGGGGGUGGAGAUCUCGGCAGGCCAGUGGUUUCGUGAUUUGACCUUGGAGUCGGGUUGUUUGUGAAUGCAGCCCAAAGUGGGUGGUAAACUCCAUCCAAGGCUCAAUACUAACACGAGUCCGAUAGCGAACAAGUACCGUGAGGGAAAGUUGAAAAGUACUUUGAAGAGAGAGUAAACAGUACGUGCAACCGCUCAGAGGUAAACGGGUGGAGUUGAACUGCAAGCCCAAGAGAUUCAGCUGGUGAGCGUGGUAUGGGCUUGGUCAUUCCGGUCGGCUUUGAGAGUCUGCGUAACUGCAGGUCCCUUCCUUUGGUUGGGAUGUGCGAUACACUUAUCAAGUGUUGUGCGCUCUUAGAGUUCGCGGGCCAGUUUGCCAGUGCACUUCUCUUGGGUCUUCACCACGACCGGCGCUGCUGUCUGUCUGCUGUGGUCGAACCGGUGGGGUAUUGCCCUUGUGGUUUUACUCCAUCGGGAUGGCAGGUAGCUCGUUAGCUUGUGAUUCGGCUUCGGCUGGGUCACGCUAGGCUGGCGGGUGUAAUAGCUGAUCGCAGUGGAACUGUGCGGUGCGCCGGAGACGGCGGCUACUGGUGUGUGCACAUGUGCUAGUUUUGCUGGCAGGGCUGGAUCUGAUUGUCAUGUUGCCUGUUCAAGCAGGCCUGAUGGUGGUUCGGUUCUGUGCAGUGAGCAGUUGCGUGUGUGUCACUGAUCUGGUGCCAAUAGUCUGUGGUGUAGUGGUAGGCUCUCCAUCCGACCCGUCUUGAAACACGGACCAAGGAGUUUAACAUGUGCGCGAGUCAUUGAGUUCUUGAAGCUCAAAGGCGCAGUGAAAGUAAAUGUUCGGUUCCGUCCGGACUGAGGUGAGAUCCUGCCGUAUCUCAUGCGCGGUACUUCCAAGCUUGUGUGUGGCAGGCGCAUCACCGGCCCGUCCCAUGGUGUGGUUGCGUCUUUUCGGAGGCGUGCGUCACCGGGGCGGAGCAUGAGCGCACACGUUGAGACCCGAAAGAUGGUGAACUAUGCUUGCGCAGGUUGAAGCCAGAGGAAACUCUGGUGGAGGACCGCAGCGAUUCUGACGUGCAAAUCGAUCGUCAAACGUGAGUAUAGGGGCGAAAGACUAAUCGAACCAUCUAGUAGCUGGUUCCCUCCGAAGUUUCCCUCAGGAUAGCUGGCGUUCUGAGUAAAAGUUUUAUCCGGUAAAGCGAAUGAUUAGAGGUAUUGGGGACGAAACGUCCUCAACCUAUUCUCAAACUUUAAAUGGGUGAGAAGCUCGACUCGCUUAAGCGGAGCCGGGCGUUGAAUUUGAGUGCCAAGUGGGCCAUUUUUGGUAAGCAGAACUGGCGCUGUGGGAUGAACCAAACGUUCGGUUAAGGUGCCUAACUCGACGCUCAUUAGACACCACAAAAGGUGUUGGUUGGUCUAGACAGCAGGACGGUGGCCAUGGAAGUCGGAAUCCGCUAAGGAGUGUGUAACAACUCACCUGCCGAAUCAACCAGCCCUGAAAAUGGAUGGGCGCUGGA
rnacentral:rRNA from 1 species